AUUGAACGCUGGCGGCAGGCUUAACACAUGCAAGUCGAGCGGAGCGGCGGACGGGCGAGUAAUGCCUAGGAAUCUGCCUGGUCGUGGGGGAUAACGUCCGGAAACGGGCGCUAAUACCGCAUACUUUCAGAUGGGCCUAGGUCGGCUUAGCUAGUUGGUGGGGUAAAGGCCUACCAAGGCGACGAGCGGUAACUGGUCUGCGAGGAUGAUCGGUCACAAUGGAACUGAGACACGGUCCAGACUCCUACGGGGGGCAGCAGGGGGGAAUAUGGGACAAUGGGCGAAAGCCUGAUGAAGCGACGCCGCGGGGGGGAUGAAGGCUUUCGGGUUGUAAACCUCUUUCGCUAUCGAACGGGUAGGUGGAGAAGAAGCGCCGGCUAACUACGUGCCAGCCGCCGCGGUAAUAC
rnacentral:rRNA from 1 species